rnacentral:rRNA from 1 species
UACGUAGGUGGCAAGCGUUGUUCGGAUUCAUUGGGCGUAAAGGGCGCGUAGGCGGCGGGGUAAGUCGGGUGUGAAAUCUCAGGGCUCAACCCUGAAACUGCACUCGAUACUGCUCUGCUUGAGGACUGGAGAGGAGACUGGAAUUCACGGUGUAGCAGUGAAAUGCGUAGAUAUCGUGAGGAAGACCAGUGGCGAAGGCGGGUCUCUGGACAGUUCCUGACGCUGAGGCGCGAAGGCCAGGGGAGCAAACGGG